GUUUUAAUAAUUUAAUAAAAAUAUUGGUCUUGUAAACCAAAUUUAAGUACCUCUUUUAAAACU
rnacentral:tRNA from 1 species